UACGGAGGAUGCGAGCGUUAUCCGGAUUUAUUGGGUUUAAAGGGUGCGUAGGCUGUGCGUUAAGUCAGGGGUGAAAUGCCGUCGCUCAACGACGGAGCUGCCCUUGAUACUGGCGUGCUGGAGUACGGAUGCCGUUGGAGGAAUGAGUGGUGUAGCGGUGAAAUGCUUAGAUAUCACUCAGAACACCGAUUGCGAAGGCAUCUGACGAAUCCGUCACUGACGCUGAGGCACGAAAGCGUGGGGAUAGAACAGGAUUAGAUACCCUGGUAUUCCACGCCGUAAACGAUGAUGACUAACCGUCGGCGAUAGACAGCCGGUGGCCAAGCGAAAGCGAUAAGUCAUCCACCUGGGGAGUACGUCGGCAACGACGAAACUCAAAGGAAUUGACGGGG
rnacentral:rRNA from 1 species